CUUGGUGGCAGGGCAUGUGGUGUUAAACCUGAACCUGGGGAUGCUUGUCUACUCGAAGUCCAACUCCGAAUAUGGCUUGGAUUUGUUCUAGAGAGGGUGAAAGCCCCGUACGGGUAGACUUUUCGUCUUUUAAGCAUGCCUUAGAUGUUCAUGUUUUGGAGUCGGAUUGCUUGAGAAUGCAGUCCAAAGUGGGUGGUAAACUCCAUCCAAGGCUAAAUACCUGCACGAAUCCGAUAGUAGACAAGUACCGCGAGGGAAAGUUGAAAAGUACUCUGAAGAGAGAGUAAAUAGUACGUGAAGCCGUUUGCAUGGAAGCUGGUGGAGUCAAGCUUCUCGUUUCAAGAAUUGACAUGGAGGAUUUUGUUUGUGGACAGAGCUUUCAUUGGCAUGAAAACGACCAGACGGUUCGCCGUCUCAUCUAUUCUUGGCAGUGUAUUUGUUGUGAUUUUCUCUUGUCCAUUCUCUUUUGUUAUUUCUUUUUACGAGUAUCACUGUGAAUGUGUAUCAUUAUGCGGCAUAAUUAAACCGUGUUUUAGAGGGCCCCCGGGCUCACUAGGCACGGGAUGGCAUGUGGAUGUAGGUCGGAUUCGUCUGGUCUGCUUCGUAUAAUAGCUUUGCUUGCUGGUUAUGUCGCUACUUAAUAAUUGUGCAUAUUCUUCUUGUUGUGACGGUAUCCGAAAUGGUAGUCGUUAUUUAGAACAGUGGUAUUGAGGUAGACGUUCCAUCCGACCCGUCUUGAAACACGGACCAAGGAGUUUAACAUUCCCGCGAGUCAAUGGCUGUAUUACGAAAGCCAAGGGGCGUAAUGAAAGUAAAAGAUCACUUCUCGUGGUCAAAGGUGUGAUACCUGCGUGUCCUAAACGGGGCUGUGGGUAGCAUCACCGGGCCCGUCUCGUAAUGUAGUCAAGAUGACCAUGGUUGUCUUGCAUCAUUGAGGCGGAGCAAGAGCGGGAAUGUUGAGACCCGAAAGAUGGUGAAAACUAAUGCAA
rnacentral:rRNA from 1 species